rnacentral:rRNA from 1 species
UGAUGAACGCUAGCUACAGGCUUAACACAUGCAAGUCCAGGGGCAGCAUGUUGGUUGCUUGCCACCAAUGAUGGCGACCGGCGCACGGGUGAGUAACGCGUAUCCAACCUACCCUUGUCCAUCGGAUAACCCGUCGAAAGGCGGACUAACACGAUAUGCGGUUCACAGCAGGCAUCUAACGUGAACGAAAUGUGAAGGAGAAAGAUGGGGAUGCGUCUGAUUAGCUUGUUGGCGGGGUAACGGCCCACCAAGGCUACGAUCAGUAGGGGUUCUGAGAGGAAGGUCCCCCACAUUGGAACUGAGACACGGUCCAAACUCCUACGGGAGGCAACAGUGAGGAAUAUUGCUCAAUGGACGAGAGUUUGAACCAACCAAGUAGCGUGCACGAUGACGGCCCUAUGGGUUGUAAACUGCUUUUAUAGGGGGAUAAAGUGUGCCACGUGUGCCAUAUUGCAGGUACCCUAUGAAUAAGGACCGGCUAAUUCCGUGCCAGCAGCCGCGGUAAUACGGAAGGUCCAGGCGUUAUCCGGAUUUAUUGGGUUUAAAGGGAGCGUAGGCCGUUUGGUAAGCGUGUUGUGAAAUGUCGGGGCUCAACCUGGGCAUUGCAACGCGAACUGUCAGACUUGAGUGCGCAGGAAGUAGGCGGAAUUCGUCGUGUAGCGGUGAAAUGCUUAGAUAUGACGAAGAACUCCGAUUGCGAAGGCAGCUUGCUGUAGCGCAACUGACGCUGAAGCUCGAAAGCGUGGGUAUCGAACAGGAUUAGAUACCCUGGUAGUCCACGCGGUAAACGAUGGAUGCUCGCUGUUUGCGUCUGACGUAAGCGGCCAAGCGAAAGCGGUAAGCAUCCCACUUGGGGAGUACGCCGGCAACGGUGAAACUCAAAGGAAUCGACGGGGGCCCGCACAA